rnacentral:rRNA from 1 species
UUGGAGGGCAAGUCUGGUGCCAGCAGCCGCGGUAAUUCCAGCUCCAAUAGCGUAUAUUAAAGUUGUUGCAGUUAAAAAGCUCGUAGUUGAAUUUCGGGAUCAAUAGGUCGGUCAUGCCGUCGGUAUGUACUGGCCUUAUUGGUUCUCACCUUCUAAUGAACCGUAAUGUCAUUAAUUUGAUGCUACGGGGAAUUAGGACUGUUACCUUGAAAAAAUUAGAGUGUUUAAAGCAGGCUAACGCUUGAAUACAUUAGCAUGGAAUAAUGAAAUAGGACAUCAGAUUCUAUUUUGUUGGUUUCUAGGAUCGAUGUAAUGAUUAAUAGGGAUAGUUGGGGGCAUUAGUAUUCAAUUGUCAGAGGUGAAAUUCUUGGAUUUAUUGAAGACUAACUACUGCAAAAGCAUUUGCCAAGGAUGUUUUCAUUUACCAAGAAG